UACGGGAGGCAGCAGUGGGGAAUAUUGCACAAUGGGCGCAAGCCUGAUGCAGCCAUGCCGCGUGUAUGAAGAAGGCCUUCGGGUUGUAAAGUACUUUCAGUCGUGAGGAAGGUGUUAAGGUUAAUAACCUUAGCAAUUGACGUUAGCGACAGAAGAAGCACCGGCUAACUCCGUGCCAGCAGCCGCGGUAAUACGGAGGGUGCGAGCGUUAAUCGGAAUUACUGGGCGUUAAAGGGCACGCAGGCGGUUAAUUAAGUUGGAUGUGAAAUCCCCGGGCUUAACCUGGGAAUGGCAUUCAAGACUGGUUAGCUAGAGUCUUGUAGAGGGGGUAGAAUUCCAUGUGUAGCGGUGAAAUGCGUAGAGAUGUGGAGGAAUACCGGUGGCGAAGGCGGCCCCUGGACAAAGGACUGACGCUCAUGUGCGAAAGCGUGGGGAGCAAACAGGGAUUAGAUACC
rnacentral:rRNA from 1 species